ensembl:lncRNA
AGAGAUGGAGGGCUCUGACCAGAUAGAGAGAUGGAGGGCUCUGCCCAGGUAGAGAGAUGGAGGGCUCUGCCCAGGUAGAGAGAUGGAGGGCUCUGCCCAGGUAGAGAGAUGGAGGGCUCUGACCAGGUAGAGAGAUGGAGGGCUCUGACCAGGUAGAGAGAUGGAGGGCUCUGACCAGGUAGAGAGAUGGAGGGCUCUGACCAGGUAGAGAGAUUGAGGGCUCUGACCAGGUAGAGAGAUGGAGGGAUCUGACCAGGUAGAGAGAUGGAGGGCUCUGCCCAGGUAGAGAGAUGGAGGGCUCAGACCAGGUAGAGAGAUGGAGGGCUCUGACCAGAUAGAGAGAUGGAGGGCUCUGCCCAGGUAGAGAGAUGGAGGGCUCUGCCCAGGUAGAGAGAUGGAGGGCUCUGCCCAGGUAGAGAGAUGGAGGGCUCUGCCCAGGUAGAGAGAUGGAGGGCUCUGCCCAGGUAGAGAGAUGGAGGGCUCUGCCCAGGUGACCAGGUGGAGAGAUGGAGGGCUCUGACCAGGUAGAGAGAUGGAGGGCUCUGACCAGGUAGAGAGAUGGAGGGCUCUGACCAGGUAGAGAGAUGGAGGGCUCUGGCCAGGUAGAGAGAUGGAGUGCUCUGACCAGGUAGAGAGAUGACAGUUGUUGCUGCC